GUAAUUUUAUUGUUGGAUUGCAAAAUUGUAGUCAUGCAGCAUCAUAAAAAAAGAAAAAAGAAGAGAAAAGAAAAUUAUUUUUUGUUUAUGAGAUGAUAAAGUUGUAAACAAGUAACAUAAACGGGGGUUUCAAAGUAACUUUGAAGACAGCAUGCUAGCAAGACCCAAAGUAAUAUACCUGGGUCAGAUAACCUGACAGAUUUAAAACCAAUGUUGAAAUUCAGAAGCCAUGGCCAGAAUUAAGUGAAUGGAUAAAUACAAGUUGAUGUAAAAGUAAUGACAAUGACUGCAAAGAACUUUGAGAAACAUUUGAGUUGUGAAAAUAAAGUAAAAAUACAAAUAUAAAGAUGUUUAUUUUUAAAAUGCAUAUAAUUUCUGACAAGUUUUAAACUGGGCUAGAGUAAAAUGAUAGUACGAUGAAAUUAUGUUAAAAAUGAAUGAAAAUGCAUUGUUACGAGUCCUGAAUCCCUCAGAGUUCUCUCUCUCUCAUUCAAAGUAAGCUAAAAUGCCGUUAUCUGAGCUUAUGUUUAAGUGAUAAGAUAUUUAUAGUACAGCACAGUGUUUCAGUCAAAUCAUAGGCAGAGAUGCUAAAGGACAUGCUAAAAAGAGUUCAGAUUUAAUGCAUUAAGAGGGCAAUUGGUAGUUAAAUGUUCAACUGCCCAAUGCAUGUAAGAAAUAAGAGAUUAUAAAAAUAAUGAAUAACAAUUUAGGAGCAAUUGUUGAAGAGACAUGAGGUCUUUAAAAUCAUAAUACAGACCCUGAGCUAUAGAUGUAAUAAUUUUGAAUAGUUAAACAAUUGUAUUGCUAUUUGUUCUAUGACCAGUAACUUAUCUGUCUUAUUUUUAGUCUCCACCAUCAUACAGGGCCUGAUGGCUGCAGCUACAGAAGCAACAGAAAAUUACAAUGAAUGGACGGGUGUGAAAAAUAAAUUCACUGAGUAAUCUCAGCAUGAUAGUUUGGAGGUAUCCAAUUGAGUUUAGCGAUUAAAUAUUAGUUUGAUUAACCUUUUUCAAUGUUUUAACACUAGUAGGUGCUGUCAAUGGCUCUCAUGGUUCUUGAGUGCACCUUUCCUAAGCUGCAGGAAAUACUGGAUUCUGGAAGAAGACUGUCGAGGAUGUUGCAACGGGAAAGAGUGGUUACCAGUGUGCAUGAGGUGAUUUCUCAAUGACGGGUAAGAUCCUCUUCUGGCCAAUAGGGGACAACCUAAGGCAGGGGGUCACCGCCACUGGGCACCUGCCCUGAAGGGUGGUGUUAUAUGUGAGAUGGUAGUGGAGUUGAGCGGAUGCUUGAUAGGCCUAGAGCAUCAUUAAGAGGGGAACUGUAUGAAGUACAGCAAUCUGCCUCAAAAUGUGAGCUCCUCCAGACCUGAUCACCAGCAACCGCAUUCCUUGACUGAUUGUUGUGACAAGUGUCCACAACUUGAUGCAACUAUGCCAGUGGAUCACACCCUGAGGACAAGGAGCUUAUUUAUAAAAAGUUAAUGGCAAUGGGCUUUCAAGAACCAUCUGAGACCAUGUGAUGACAGCCAUUAUUUUGAGACAAAAAUUUCUUAUGAGGCUAAAAUGAUAUUGAACUAAUAUGUCUAUAUCAUAGUCUUUACUCAUGCAGGUCAUUAGGCAUGACACAAGAUGAUAACAAGAUAUGGUGGUGGCUAAAAAUGAAGACUGCUUCUGCUUAAUCAAGAGAUGGUUUAGAUAACAAAGGUUAAGGGAAUUAAGCAUGUAAGGUAAAAAUAAUUUUAAAGAAAUGUUCCUAGCAUUAUGUAUUUUAAACAGUUUAAACUGAGAUUUUAGAUCUAGAAACUUUGACAUUUUUAACUUAUUUGAAUAAUUUAGGGUUAUAUGUUGUAAUGAAUUUUAUAUUAUAGUCUAAGUUAAAGUUUGGCAAAAAUUGUCAAAAUAAAUAAAUAAAUAAUAUUUUGCACAGUAAGAGAUAGAGAGAGAGAGUGCUUGAGUGGAGGCAGGGAUAGUGCUCUUCUUCUAUUAUUGGCCUGGUAAGAAAGAGUAACCAAAACAGAGCAAUAAUUUUAAGACCAAAACAACCCAGCUGAUUUUUCUCAAAAUAAAAAUCAUUAAUGAACAGGCAAACUUUGAGAUUAGAUAAGAGAUUAGGUACAAACUUGGUAAAAUGCACAGACAAUGUUUGAGUUUAAAUCCUUCCGAUUUAAUACCAAAAGGAAAACCUUAAAUAUGAGCUGUUAAAAUAUAAAUGUGUUAAGUAUGUGCAUGCAUGAGGAUGGCUAUAUAUAUAUUAUUGGGGGACAAUUCUGUUCCUGUUUUGUUUCAAUUGAGUCACUAACCUCUGGAAUGAGUGUUUUAUCAUUACAGAUGUGUUAAGUGAAAUUACUUUACAGAAGUCGAUAAUUCUGAGUAAAACUAAUGAAAAGACAAUGCCAAACAUGGGACGAGCUUUAAGAGGAUUGGUUAUCCAGCUCCGUCUGCUACUGGUAAUAAUGACUUGUUUUGUCUUUUAUAAUACUGAUUUAAAUCACUCUCUGGAUUAAUAUGUUAAAGAAUGUUUAUAUGAUUGGAUUUGUGAAAUUUAAGUUUGCCGUCCAAAAUGGGUUUAAAAUCCAUGCCUAAAUUUAAAUGAGGGUCUAAAUUUUAACAAGUUAACACUUUGUUGUUUGAAUGGUGAAGGUAAAUAUUUUAGACUUGAUGGCAGAAAAACAGUGACAGAUUGGCUACGUCACUAACCAAAUUAUCCAGAGAGCACCCUCACAUAAAGAAGCCUGGUGGGAAAACAAAGGAGUGAAUCCUGCUUGUGUAAUAUAGUGCAAAAGCUUUAUGUAGUGGUUUAUGUAGAACAGAGAUAAGUUGAACAAAAACGUGUGGAUAGCCCCUUAAUGGAGCAAAUCCAUAACAAGAGGUUUGAAUUAAUUGAAAUAGCACAGCAAAAAAAAAAAAUAAUAAUAAUAAAUUUUGUUUGAACAAAACAAUUGUAAUAUGCUCUAUGGAGCUGCUUAUGAACACCUGUCAGGGCUUUUUGAUAAUGUAUAUUGUUUCAAUACAGAUUUACAGAAACUGAGGAUGUCUCUUUAAUAAAUAUUUGGGCGUUUAGAACUAAGUAAUAGUAUUGUUCAUUUAGUAAUAGUAUUGGGAAAUCUGUGUGCUCUUUUUUAGUUUAUAAUAAUUUAUGAGUAAAUAAAUAUCACAACCAAAUGACAAACAUGAAUGAGGGUUUUAAAGACAUUGAUCACGUAGCUGAUGUGUAAGCAUUUCUAACUGACAAAACAGUGAGAACUAAAUUGACUUAAUACGAGGUACUGAGGAUUUGCUUCUGAAUGUGUCAUUAAUAUAGUCUGAGUACAGUAAUAUGGUAUGAUAAUUGACAAGACUUACAUUUAAAAAAAAAAGGGUAAUAAUAAGGCAAUGAGUAUGGUUAACAGUAAUGUCCUGGUAUAAAAUACAUGCAUGACAAUAAGUGGAUAGGUUAGUUGUAUUUUUGAAGUUAGACACUUCGAUACUUAAAAUGUAAUUUUGAUCAAAUGUUGUUAACAAUGACAAGUUUGGAAUGAAAGGGUAAAAUGGAUAUUCAAUCUCUAUAAUUGUACCAUUGAUCGGGAAAAUGAUAGAUUUUCAUAAAAUAAGGGUAUCUUUACUGGGAUUUAGGUUAUAAGCAAUGUCUGUAUUUGGUAUCUGUGAGGUGACUGAGGGUCUGACAUAUGUCAGGAAUGCAAUAACAGUGGUUAUUCAUUUAGCCCGGCUUCCAGAGAAUAAUAUAUAUAUAUACGUUUAUUGUAAUGAGUUUAUUUUACUAUAUGACCAAAUUAACUAAAAUUCAUCAUAGUUGUAUAAGACAUAUUAAAAGAAAACAAAUAAGACAAAUAUCCUUCUUAAGGGUUACAUUUUUUUUGAAUUGGUUAUAGUGUAUGCGUUUUUCUUUAAUGAUUUGUUAAAUCUGGUUAAUGAAUAUGCAAAUUUAGUCUUAAGGCUGUUGGAUAAAUGUUUGGUUUUAGAGGGUAAGUGUGAAGUAGCUGUAGUAGGAAGAGAGGUAUUUACAAAGAUAUGUUGAUGAAAGUGAGGACACUUUUCCAGGUAGAGGGACACACAGAAUGAUUCACUGGAAAAGACAUUAUGUGAAGAAAGACUAGUGCAAGUGCCGAUAUUGUGGGAUUAAGUAAGUAGAUUAAUGUAUAUGGGAAAUAAGAAUGUAUAUGGGAAGUAUUUUGUACAAAAUAAUGUGUUUAUUACUAGAAAUGUCAGCCAGUACCAGAGAUUUUAAGUAUGCACAUGUUUAAGUUGACCAACAGUCUGCAUUCUUAGCAUGCAUCACAACGACACCUGACCUCAUUUAUUAGACCAGAUGUGGGGUAUUAGACCCCACAUUGAUCUAAAACGGGGGACUGAAGGAGUGGAUGCCGAGUUGCCAUAUCCUUCAUACCAGAGAUGGGACCAAGUCCCCAUGUCUGCUUCAUACUGAUAUUAUAUUAUAUUAUUACAUGAUUUCUUGUUUGACUAUUAAUCAAGUUAUAGCAAGAGUGAAAUGUGUAACCUUAUGUGUGCUGUAUUUCUUUUCCUCAAGAUUAAUGUCCACAUAUUAUGUGUGUGUAUCCAACCGUAAUGAUAAGACACUUGCCAGUGCUAGAAAGCCUUGAAUUUUAGAUAAGUUCUCUGUGUAUGUGUUUUAGUAUCUGUCUGUACAGGGAGAAGCUCAGACAGUCCCAGGACAAACGAUCAACUGCCAGUGUCCAGCGUAUCAGAUCUACGUCUUUGGAGAGUUUUAUCUAGGUUUUGGAACCAAUCAGAAUUUUGUUGACUCAUGUAUUGACGCAAUUAGUAUCCUCUGUCAGGGUAUAACUGUGGUUGAUUUUGUAUUGUACUGGGGGCGGCCUGCGAACUCCUUCGAGAGUGUUGAAGCUGACUUCUGCUGAUGAAAUUGCAAACUAUUUUCUUCAAGUAAAAUUAUUAUUAUUAAUUGAACUCA